UACGUAGGGUCCGAGCGUUGUCCGGAAUUAUUGGGCGUAAAGGGCUCGUAGGCGGGCUGUUGCGUCGGGAGUGAAAAUUCACAGCUUAACUGUGAACUUGCUUCCGAUACGGGCAGACUUGAGGUAUUCAGGGGAGAACGGAAUUCCUGGUGUAGCGGUGAAAUGCGCAGAUAUCAGGAGGAACACCGGUGGCGAAGGCGGAUCUCUGGGCCUUACCUGACGCUGAGGCGCGAAAGCUAGGGGAGCGAACAGG
rnacentral:rRNA from 1 species